rnacentral:rRNA from 1 species
GGUAGUCCACGCCGUAAACGAUGAGUGCUAGGUGUUGGAGGGUUUCCGCCCUUCAGUGCCGCAGUUAACGCAUUAAGCACUCCGCCUGGGGAGUACGACCGCAAGGUUGAACUCAAAGGAAUUGACGGGGACCCGCACAAGCGUGGAGCAUGUGGUUUAAUUCGAAGCAACGCGAAGAACCUUACCAAGUCUUGACAUCCUUUGACCACCCUAGAGAUAGGGCUUUCCCUUCGGGGACAAAGUGACAGGUGGUGCAUGGUUGUCGUCAGCUCGUGUCGUGAGAUGUUGGGUUAAGUCCCGCAACGAGCGCAACCCCUAUUAUUAGUUGCCAGCAUUCAGUUGGGCACUCUAAUGAGACUGCCGGUGACAAACCGGAGGAAGGUGGGGAUGACGUCGAAUCAGCAUGCCCCUUAUGACUUGGGCUACACACGUGCUACAAUGGAUGGUACAACGAGUCGCAAACCCGCGAGGGCAAGCAAAUCUCUUAAAGCCAUUCGCAGUUCGGAUUGCAGGCUGCAACUCGCCUGCAUGAAGCCGGAAUCGCUAGUAAUCGUGGAUCAGCACGCCACGGUGAAUACGUUCCCGGGUCUUGUACACACCGCCCGUCACACCACGAGAGUUUGUAACACCCGAAGUCGGUGAGGUAACCUUUAUGGAGCCAGCCGCCGAAGGUGGGACAGAUGAUUGGGGUGAAGUCGUAACAAGGUAACC